AGCGACUUAUAUUCUGUAGCAAGGUUAACCGAAUAGGGGAGCCGAAGGGAAACCGAGUCUUAACCGGGCGUUAAGUUGCAGGGUAUAGACCCGAAACCCGGUGAUCUAGCCAUGGGCAGGUUGAAGGUUGGGUAACACUAACUGGAGGACCGAACCGACUAAUGUUGAAAAAUUAGCGGAUGACUUGUGGCUGGGGGUGAAAGGCCAAUCAAACCGGGAGAUAGCUGGUUCUCCCCGAAAGCUAUUUAGGUAGCGCCUCGUGAAUUCAUCUCCGGGGGUAGAGCACUGUUUCGGCAAGGGGGUCAUCCCGACUUACCAACCCGAUGCAAACUGCGAAUACCGGAGAAUGUUAUCACGGGAGACACACGGCGGGUGCUAACGUCCGUCGUGAAGAGGGAAACAACCCAGACCGCCAGCUAAGGUCCCAAAGUCAUGGUUAAGUGGGAAACGAUGUGGGAAGGCCCAGACAGCCAGGAUGUUGGCUUAGAAGCAGCCAUCAUUUAAAGAAAGCGUAAUAGCUCACUGGUCGAGUCGGCCUGCGCGGAAGAUGUAACGGGGCUAAACCAUGCACCGAAGCUGCGGCAGCGACACUGUGUGUUGUUGGGUAGGGGAGCGUUCUGUAAGCCUGUGAAGGUGUCUGUGAGGAUGCUGGAGGUAUCAGAAGUGCGAAUGCUGACAUAAGUAACGAUAAAGCGGGUGAAAAGCCCGCUCGCCGGAAGACCAAGGGUUCCUGUCCAACGUUAAUCGGGGCAGGGUGAGUCGACCCCUAAGGCGAGGCCGAAAGGCGUAGUCGAUGGGAAACAGGUUAAUAUUCCUGUACUUGGUGUUACUGCGAAGGGGGGACGGAGAAGGCUAUGUUGGCCGGGCGACGGUUGUCCCGGUUUAAGCGUGUAGGCUGGUUUUCCAGGCAAAUCCGGAAAAUCAAGGCUGAGGCGUGAUGACGAGGCACUACGGUGCUGAAGCAACAAAUGCCCUGCUUCCAGGAAAAGCCUCUAAGCAUCAGGUAACAUCAAAUCGUACCCCAAACCGACACAGGUGGUCAGGUAGAGAAUACCAAGGCGCUUGAGAGAACUCGGGUGAAGGAACUAGGCAAAAUGGUGCCGUAACUUCGGGAGAAGGCACGCUGAUAUGUAGGUGAAGUCCCUCGCGGAUGGAGCUGAAAUCAGUCGAAGAUACCAGCUGGCUGCAACUGUUUAUUAAAAACACAGCACUGUGCAAACACGAAAGUGGACGUAUACGGUGUGACGCCUGCCCGGUGCCGGAAGGUUAAUUGAUGGGGUCAGCGCAAGCGAAGCUCUUGAUCGAAGCCCCGGUAAACGGCGGCCGUAACUAUAACGGUCCUAAGGUAGCGAAAUUCCUUGUCGGGUAAGUUCCGACCUGCACGAAUGGCGUAAUGAUGGCCAGGCUGUCUCCACCCGAGACUCAGUGAAAUUGAACUCGCUGUGAAGAUGCAGUGUACCCGCGGCAAGACGGAAAGACCCCGUGAACCUUUACUAUAGCUUGACACUGAACAUUGAGCCUUGAUGUGUAGGAUAGGUGGGAGGCUUUGAAGUGUGGACGCCAGUCUGCAUGGAGCCGACCUUGAAAUACCACCCUUUAAUGUUUGAUGUUCUAACGUGGACCCGUGAUCCGGGUUGCGGACAGUGUCUGGUGGGUAGUUUGACUGGGGCGGUCUCCUCCUAAAGAGUAACGGAGGAGCACGAAGGUUGGCUAAUCCUGGUCGGACAUCAGGAGGUUAGUGCAAUGGCAUAAGCCAGCUUGACUGCGAGCGUGACGGCGCGAGCAGGUGCGAAAGCAGGUCAUAGUGAUCCGGUGGUUCUGAAUGGAAGGGCCAUCGCUCAACGGAUAAAAGGUACUCCGGGGAUAACAGGCUGAUACCGCCCAAGAGUUCAUAUCGACGGCGGUGUUUGGCACCUCGAUGUCGGCUCAUCACAUCCUGGGGCUGAAGUAGGUCCCAAGGGUAUGGCUGUUCGCCAUUUAAAGUGGUACGCGAGCUGGGUUUAGAACGUCGUGAGACAGUUCGGUCCCUAUCUGCCGUGGGCGCUGGAGAACUGAGGGGGGCUGCUCCUAGUACGAGAGGACCGGAGUGGACGCAUCACUGGUGUUCGGGUUGUCAUGCCAAUGGCACUGCCCGGUAGCUAAAUGCGGAAGAGAUAAGUGCUGAAAGCAUCUAAGCACGAAACUUGCCCCGAGAUGAGUUCUCCCUGACCCUUUAAGGGUCCUGAAGGAACGUUGAAGACGACGACGUUGAUAGGCCGGGUGUGUAAGCGCAGCGAUGCGUUGAGCUAACCGGUACUAAUGAACCGUGAGGCUUAACCU
rnacentral:rRNA from 1 species